AUGGCGUCGCCGCUUCUGGAGCCCUCUUUUGGCGUCGGCACCUCCCACACCGCCGUUCCAGAAUCUGCGAGUAUGUAUGUCUUCCUCGAUAGCAAAAUCGAGUUGCUAGCCGAGUUGAAGAAUACCACUGCAGCUAGAGAGGAGGUUGAGCUGUGCCCUCGGGAGCAAGAGGGUUCCAUCGAUGGCACCAGUCCCCAGUUUCUCGUAGCUUUUUCCCAUGAUGGUAUUCUUCAACGUAUGGCAUCGCUUAGCUUCUUGGACGGUGCUUUUGACGAGGAGUCAUUGGAAGAGGAUGAUACACAGAUGGAGGGAUCUGUAAAGGAGAAGACAUGGGAUCCAGAAGAAACAGAGGAACCAGAGGACGAGUCACAGUACUCAGAUGAUACAUGGCUGGAGGAAGCUGUGGAGGAGAAGACUUGGGAACCGGAAGAAACAGAGGAAUCAGAGGACGAGUCACAGGACUCAUAUGAUACAUUGCUGGAGGGAGCUGUGGAGGAGAACACCUGGGAACCGGAAAUAACAGAGGAACUUGAGGACAAGUCAAAGGACAUGGAGGGGAAAUGGCUGGAGGAACCUCAGAAGGAGGGAACAUGGGAACUGGAGGGAACGGAAACUGAAACGGAAUCAGAAGAGGAGCGGAUGAAUGAAAACUUCUCAGUCACGCUUAGAAUUUGGUCAACCAGGGCCAAUCUGGUUUUCUAUGAUUCGACUGGUUGGAUAUUCACAAAAGCCUAUUCUCUUCAGUGGCUUUCGAUUAAAGCGAUGGAAUCUUUGGUACGAGAAAUGAAAGAAUCGAGGCACAUUCUGAAUUUUGAUGCCUCCACAAUUCACAAUCAACAAUCAAUUGGGAGAUGCCAAUUUGAGGGUCUAGUGGUCUCCUCAUGUGCAAUAGAGACCUUCAUUGAAACACAGAUAUCUCCUAGCUUUAUUGAUUUUGAAUUGGAGAAAUGUUUAGUUAACAUUUGCAGAGAGGUUACCAUUCUAUCUAGCCUUAGAAAUGAAUACAUUGUCAAGUUUUCACAGGCAUGGGUUGAAUCUAAUAUUGAUGUGGAGUACAAAGAAGCAAGUGAAGAUGGCUCUAUAGUAGGUGAUUUUGGGCGGUCUUGCUUUCGCCCAAAUGAUUGUCCUACGUUCACAGCCACACCAAAUCUUGGGACACUUGGAUAUGAAGCCCCAGAACUUGAAGCUGGUAAAAAUAUUUCAGAAAAGGUGGAUAUCUUCCCGCUUGGAAUAAUGUACUUCUCGCUGUUCAUUAGUUAUGCAACUUUAGUCCAGAGGCAUAAUGAGUACAUACAAUUCAAGAACGAUACUUCUCGAAAGAACUGGGAAUGCUUAUCAUGGCAGGGCAACUCUUCAUUUUGCAUGGAGCUAACUGCAGAAGAUCCACUAAAGCGUCCCUGUGCUGCUGAUAUCCUAGAGAGCCUACACAAAAGAACUAGGCUGAGUCAAAAGUGCGAGAAAAGCACUAAGAAUGAUGUUAAGAUGAUUGAAAACGAGGGUUGUGAAACUCAGUCUGAAGAGGAGCUCCGUCAAACCUGCCAUCACCGUGGCCACCUAGGCCUGCGAUCAACAGAAGAAAUUUGGAAACAGGUGGCCGCUUUCCGGCGGCUUGGUGUCCUGACAAUGGUGGUGUGUCGUUCCUGGAACCCGGGCCGGCGGCCCUGGGUGCUGAGGCUGCACGGUUGGCUCUAUGGCGAGCGCUGUUGCAGCGGUGGUGUCUCCUCUUGGCUAUGUGGGCAACAAGGGGAGGCUGUCGGAUCUUUGUCAAGAUCUGUCAUAUCUCACUACAUCAGCAACAAGGUGCGCCAGGGGAAGUUGCCCAGGCAACCCGGCAACGACUCAAGGCAAGACGACACCGGGAACGCCCAUUUCAUCUUGCUCGUGUCCGGCAAGCGGGGACAGCAAGCCACCGCCCCCAACGUGUGGCGUGCUAGUUCUGUGCAUCAGACCUUGCACGACAUGUGCCGGCUGUGCAGGCGUGCCAGUGGAGUUACAGCGGCAUGGGAGCUGAUUCACCACUCCGCUUACCAUGUGGUAGCGUCCUCAACGCUGGCGUCAGGUGGCCCUGGUGUUCUCCUAUCUUUUGCACGUAUCCCCGUGGUCUCCUUUCUUGGUCCUUGCAAUCUUGUGGCAGGAGCGACACUCCACGACCCGAUAGAACUGUAUAACUCCAUGAUUGAAAAAGAUACUACAAAGGAAGCUAAUAGAGCAUAUAUGGCUGCUAGAGAGGAGUCAGAUGAUGCCGUUAAGGUUGCUUUAAAAGAAGAUGUUCCUUUAGCGCUGAUUGAGAAGGUUGAUGCUAUGUUUCAAAAAUAUGAGAAAGAUAUUGAUGGUGUUGAUGCACAAACCGGAAACCACUUGCAACUGCUUGAUAGGGAUCAUGAUGGUAAGGUGACCCCUAAGGAGGCAGCAGCAGCGAAAGGUUGCAUAGAGAAGGGAGGCAUCCAAGAGCUUAUCAGCGAGCUCUCUAAAGACAAAGGUCCUUGCAAGGACUUCCCUCUUCUCUUCAUGAUAUUGCAUGGCCAAUUAUUCUCAUUCUUUUCUGACUAUUUUCUAAUGCCUACAGAAGGAACGAUUUCUCUGUAA
rnacentral:rRNA from 1 species